rnacentral:rRNA from 1 species
CAGCAGCCGCGGGAAUACGAAGGGUGCAAGCGUUACUCGGAAUUACUGGGCGUAAAGCGUGCGUAGGUGGUGGUUUAAGUCCGUUGUGAAAGCCCUGGGCUCAACCUGGGAAUUGCAGUGGAUACUGGGUCGCUAGAGUGUGGUAGAGGAUAGUGGAAUUUCCGGUGUAGCAGUGAAAUGCGUAGAGAUCGGAAGGAACAUCUGUGGCGAAGGCGACUAUCUGGGCCAACACUGACACUGAGGCACGAAAGCGUGGGGAGCAAACAGGAUUAGAUACCCCAGUAGUCCCUGUCUCUUAUAC